rnacentral:rRNA from 1 species
AAACCAGCACCUCAAGUGGUCAGGAUGAUUAUUGGGCCUAAAGCAUCCGUAGCCGGCUCUGUAAGUUUUCGGUUAAAUCUGUACGCUCAACGUACAGGCUGCCGGAAAUACUGCAGAGCUAGGGAGUGGGAGAGGUAGACGGUACUCGGGAGGAAGGGGUAAAAUCCUUUGAUCUUUCGAUGACCACCUGUGGCGAAGGCGGUCUACCAGAACACGUUCGACGGUGAGGGAUGAAAGCUGGGGGAGCAAACCGGAUUAGAUACCCGAGUAGUCC